GCCGCAAUGGCGGAAUUGGCAGACGCGCAGUGUUCAGGUCGCUGUGAGGUUAUCCUCGUGCAGGUUCGACUCCUGUUUGCGGCA
rnacentral:tRNA from 1 species